ensembl:lncRNA
AACACAGCGCAGCUUGUGCAAGGCAAUUACUGCACUUCCUAUAGGGAAACCAAAAUGGUGCUGUUGGCUGUACUGGGCAAGGCCUUUCUGGACGGAGAACAGAAAAUACAGAAUCAGCUAUAUUUUUGGCUGGCAUGUGAUGAUAUCCUGGGGAGACUGAUGGGUAGAUAGAGAAGUGCAUAUAUCUUUGCUCUUAUUUACACCAAGGUAAGUCAAAAAUGUGUAAAAAGCACUGGAAAACACAAGAUGAGGUAAAGACUUUGAGGACACCUUCUAGAGCAUAGGCUCAUUAUUUUGCAUGCUUUUUUUGCUAUUUGGGCCAUGUCAUCUUUAUGUUUGUCCACGAACAAAU